UUUUUACAGUUCUUUGGAAGGACUAUUCUACUGAAACUCAUUAUGUAGAAAAGAGCAGUCUUACGGACAGUGCGUUGGACAAAGAGAAGAGAACCGGUCCCAUAUGCACCAUCUUUCACUUGUUGUCUUAUUGCCCCGACUUACUUCAUGACCAGUUUGUGACAGUGUCUGAUCUUCAAAGUGGAGCUAAUACUUGCCUUUCUCACAGGAAUAUUGUGAAGAUAAAUGAGAUAAAUCAUUUGAAGUGUUUUGGGCUCCACUGAUGAUUGAGGACGUUGAGGAUUGAGAACAAGCAAAGUAGAUGAAGAAAGGUGAUCAAGAAGAACCAUGAAAGUGUUAUCCUGGAAUCCAAGUGAAGACAGUGUUUCAAAGAUGAGGCCUAUGACAAGAAAAAACAAUAUUUUUAGAGCUCAUCUAAAUAUCUCCUGUAUAGAAAGUAUUAUGAAAUUUGAACCCAGUUAUCAAAAGUUUGGAUGGGCCUUAAAGGUAGUGCUGUUUGCCACUAUAGGAAGAUCUGCCCUAGCAGACUGA
rnacentral:lncRNA from 13 species